CCUACGGGAGGCAGCAGUAGGGAAUCUUCCACAAUGGGCGAAAGCCUGAUGGAGCAACGCCGCGUGGGUGAAGAAGGUCUUCGGAUCGUAAAACCCUGUUUUUAGAGAAGAAAAUGCGUGAGAGUAACUGUUCACGUUUCGACGGUAUCUAACCAGAAAGCCACGGCUAACUACGUGCAAGCAGCCGCGGUAAUACGUAGGUGGCAAGCGUUAUCCGGAUUUAUUGGGUGUAAAGGGAACGCAGGCGGUUUUUUAAGUCUGAUGUUAAAGCCUGCGGCUUAACCGGAGUAGUGCAUUGGAUACUGGGAGACUUGAGUACAGAUGAGGUGGGUGGAACUCGAUGUGUAGCGGUGAAAUGCGUAGAUAUAUGGAAGAACACCAGUGGCGAAGGCGGCUUUCUAGACUGUAACUGACGCUGAGGUUCGAAAGCGUGGGUAGCAAACAGGAUUAGAUACCCCUGUAGUC
rnacentral:rRNA from 1 species